GUCUACAGCCAUAUCACCCUGAAUGCACCCAAUUUCAGAAGCCAAGCAGGGCCUGACCUGGUUUGUACUUGGAUGAGAGCCACCACAGCAUCACUGAUGAAAUCCCUGGCAAAUAGAUU
ensembl:rRNA 5S_rRNA 5S ribosomal RNA